AGGUUUUUUUGAUUGUUUAUAAAGAGAUAAAUAAACAAAUCUCGGCGAAUAAUUUUGUGUGCAUUUUUAAGGCAAUUUUAAAGGUUUCUCCGGACAUCUGAGGGCAUGGGACUCCUCACGGAUCCUUCGGGACUAUCUCAGAAAGCAGAAUAUGCAAAUUUGCUGAAAAAAACAUUGCAACUUCCUCUUUAUUGUCGGUGUUUGUUGGUUUCAGAAAAUUCCCUUCUUCCGGGUCUCGUGUAGUCUUCUGCCUAAUUCCGAAGGAUUAUGGGGGGGGGGGGAGGAAUUGCCGGAGUAUCGUGUGCUGAGACAAUUGCCUUUCUCUGUCCAGAAGAGAAAAUAAUCCUCGUAACAGAGUCUCGACUCAUUCUGCACAGGAGCUCGUCCCAAUUUAAUAGAAGAGCACCCCCAUUUAAUUGGGAUUCGUGACACAGAAUCAGUGCAGGAAUUUCAGAGAAGGAUCAAGGAUAGUAAGAGAAUUGUUCUUGUGGGAAAUGGUGGAAUUGCCAGUGAGAUUGCCUACGCAGUGAAAGCUGUUACAAUUGAUUGGGUAGUCAGGGAUAAUCAAUCUCAUUUCCUCCACAUUCCUUGAUCCAGGAGCUGCUGAAUUCUUCAAGAAGAAUCUGCAGGGAAAAGGCUCCAGUGUGGUGAAAUGCAGGGAAAUAAUGGAGCAGCCUUGGGUCCCGAUUGGCAUUGAAUGCCCGAUAUUUCCGGAAGUGGACGCAAUCUCCCGGAUUCCGUCAACAUUCACUAACUCUUCAGUGCGACUUUGUCGUUUCAGCAAGUGGUGUUAAUCCCAGAAUUGAUUACACGGUAGAUUCACCACUGGAGCGUGCCACAGACGGUGGGAUUUCAGUCAAUGAACUCAUGCGAGCAUCCCUGGUGGAUAUUUAUGCGGCCGUGGAUUGCUGUACGGCCACAUGGAAGCCAGGAGAGAAUUGAUUUGGCUCCCAAAAAGAGUUAAAAUGGCUCUUUUCAGAGUCCACAAAAUUAAUUUUUAAAGAGUUCAAUGAAUAAAUAUAAUUUUUUAAUUAAAACGCCUAAUUAAUUUAAUAAAAACUAAUAUAUUUCAAAGAAA